UUUUUUUGGAUUUUGCUAACAUGUUAAAAAUUAUCUUUUUUUAUAUAUUUAAAACUGAUUUUUUUUAUAAAAAAAAUUUAGCUGCUCUAUUUUAAAAUUCAUUUCUCUAUUUUAUGUUCUUAGAGAUUUUAAUCCCUCAAUUUAUUUGAGUGAUAUUUUUUAUGAUGUGACCGCUGUCUUGAUCAUGUAUUAGGACUUAAGUGAUAAAA
rnacentral:lncRNA from 1 species